CAGCCGCCGCGGUAAUACGAGGGGAGCUAGCGUUGUUCGGAAUUACUGGGCGUAAAGCGCGCGUAGGCGGCUUUUUAAGUCAGAGGUGAAAGCCCGGGGCUCAACCCCGGAAUUGCCUUUGAAACUGGAAAGCUAGAAUCUUGGAGAGGUCAGUGGAAUUCCGAGUGUAGAGGUGAAAUUCGUAGAUAUUCGGAAGAACACCAGUGGCGAAGGCGACUGACUGGACAAGUAUUGACGCUGAGGUGCGAAAGCGUGGGGAGCAAACAGGAUUAGAUACCCCGUAGUCCCUGUCUCUUAUACA
rnacentral:rRNA from 1 species